AACGAACGCUGGCGGCAUGCCUAACACAUGCAAGUCGAACGACGCCUUCGUGCUUACUUGCGCACGGGUGCGUAACGCGUGGGAAUCUUCCCCUUGCUUCGGAAUAACAGUUAGAAAUGACUGCUAAUACCGGAUGAAGUCUUCUGAUCAAAGAUUCGACGUCAAGGGAUGAGCCCGCGUAGGUCUAGGUAGGUGGUGGGGUAAAGGCCUACCACGCCUACGCUCCUUAGCUGGUCUGAGAGAAUGAACAGACACACUGGGACUGAGACCCGGCCCAGACUACUGCGCGAGGGAGGAGUGGCGAAUAUAGGAAAAUGGACGCAGGUCUGAAGCAGCAAUGCCGCGUGAGUGAUGAAGGCGGUAGAGUAGUAAAGCACUUUUACCAGGGAUGAUAAUGACGGUACCUGGAGAAUAAGCACCGGCUAACUUCGUG
rnacentral:rRNA from 1 species